rnacentral:rRNA from 1 species
GACGAACCGUGCGAACGUUGUUCGGAAUCACUGGGCGUAAAGCGCACGUAGGCGGGCGUGUCAGUCAGGGGUGAAAUCCCGGAGCUCAACUCCGGAACUGCCUCUGAUACAGCACGUCUUGAGUUCGAGAGAGGUGGGUGGAAUUCCUAGUGUAGAGGUGAAAUUCGUAGAUAUUAGGAAGAACACCGGUGGCGAAGGCGGCCCACUGGCUCGAUACUGACGCUGAGGUGCGAAAGCGUGGGGAGCAAACAGG